AAACACAUGACAGCCAGCACCUUAUGGUAUAAAUCAAGAAAGAAUGACCUCACUUUGUUGUAUGAAAAGUCUCAUUAGUAAGGAAGCAUAUAUGAAUUUUCUGAGUUAAGACCCAUAAUAACUUUUGGGGUUUUGUUAGGUUAGGUUAGGUUAGGGUAUCUUCAAACACAUGACAGCCAGCACCUUAUGGUAUAAAUCAACAAAGAAUGACCUCACUUUGUUGUAUGAAAAGUCUCAUUAGUAAGGAAGCAUAUAUGAAUUUUCUGAGUCAAGACCUAUAGUAACUGUUUGGGGUUUUGUUAGGUUAGGUUAGGUUAAGUUUAGGGUAUCUUUAAACACAUGAUAGCCAGCACCUUAUGGUAUAAAUCAACAAAGAAUGACCUCACUUUGUUGCAUAGAAAGUCUCAUUAGUAAGGAAACAUAUAUGAAUUUUCUGAGCCAAGACCUAGAGUAACUGUUUGGGGUUUUGUUAGGUUAGGUUAGGUUAAGUUUAGGGUAUCUUUAAACACAUGAUAGCCAGCCCCUUAUGGUAUAAAUCAACAAAGAAUGACCUCACUUUGUUGCAUAGAAAGUCUCAUUAGUAAGGAAACAUAUAUGAAUUUUCUGAGCCAAGACCUAUAGUAACUGUUUGGGGUUUUGUUAGGUUAGGUUAGGUUAAGUUUAGGGUAUCUUUAAACACACGAUACCCAGCACCUUCCUGAAUGUUUAGCCCACCUGCCUGUGUACCAUUCCCAACACAAACUAAAAAAAAAUGGUUCCGUCCCUUACGCCCUUCUCCAGACACCACAAUGAACAAGACCUUCAAACUGCUU